rnacentral:rRNA from 1 species
CCUACGGGAGGCAGCAGUAGGGAAUCUUCCACAAUGGACGAAAGUCUGAUGGAGCAACGCCGCGUGAGUGAAGAAGGGUUUCGGCUCGUAAAGCUCUGUUGGUAGUGAAGAAAGAUAGAGGUAGUAACUGGCCUUUAUUUGACGGUAAUUACUUAGAAAGUCACGGCUAACUACGUGCCAGCAGCCGCGGUAAUACGUAGGUGGCAAGCGUUGUCCGGAUUUAUUGGGCGUAAAGCGAGUGCAGGCGGUUCAAUAAGUCUGAUGUGAAAGCCUUCGGCUCAACCGGAGAAUUGCAUCAGAAACUGUUGAACUGGAGUGCAGAAGAGGAGGGUGGAACUCCAUGUGUAGCGGUGGAAUGCGUAGAUAUAUGGAAGAACACCAGUGGCGAAGGCGGCUCUCUGGUCUGCAACUGACGCUGAGGCUCGAAAGCAUGGGUAGCGAACAGGAUUAGAUACCCCAGUAGUC